GCUAAGCAGCAUUAGUGCGAGCACUAGCGCUAAUACUGCUAGCACUAAUGUUGGCGACACAUCUGAGCCAGCACACCAGGGAGAAGGACAGGACAGUGAGGAA